rnacentral:rRNA from 1 species
GACGAACGCUGGCGGCGUGCCUAAUACAUGCAAGUAGAACGCACAGUUUAUACCGUAGCUUGCUACACCAUAGACUGUGAGUUGCGAACGGGUGAGUAACGCGUAGGUAACCUGCCUGGUAGCGGGGGAUAACUAUUGGAAACGAUAGCUAAUACCGCAUAAUAUUGAUUAUUGCAUGAUAAUUGAUUGAAAGAUGCUAUUGCAUCACUACCAGAUGGACCUGCGUUGUAUUAGCUAGUAGGUGAGGUAACGGCUCACCUAGGCGACGAUACAUAGCCGACCUGAGAGGGGGAUCGGCCACACUGGGACUGAGACACGGCCCAGACUCCUACGGGAGGCAGCAGUAGGGAAUCUUCGGCAAUGGACGAAAGGCUGACCGAGCAACGCCGCGUGAGUGAAGAAGGUUUUCGGAUCGGAAAGAUCUGUUGUAAGAGAAGAACGGGUGUGAGAGUGGAAGGUUCACACUGUGACGGUAUCUUACCAGAAAGGGACGGCUAACUACGUG